rnacentral:rRNA from 1 species
UACAGAGGGUGCGAGCGUUGUCCGGAAUCACUGGGCGUAAAGGGCGCGUAGGCGGCUGGAUAAGUAGGGGGUGAAAUCUCACAGCUUAACUGUGAGGCUGCCUUCUAGACUGUCUGGCUUGAGCACGGUAGAGGCUGGUGGAAUUCCCGGUGUAGCGGUGGAAUGCGUAGAGAUCGGGAAGAACAUCGGUGGCGAAGGCGGCCAGCUGGGCCGUUGCUGACGCUGAGGCGCGAAAGCGUGGGGAGCAAACAGG